AUUGAACGCUAGCGGGAUGCUUUACACAUGCAAGUCGAACGAGUGGCGGACGGGAGAGCAAUGUAUGGGGACUGCACGAUAGAGGGGGAUAAAUACUGGAAACGGUAGCGAAUACCGCAUACUAUCGGAUAACCAAUAAUGGAUUAGCUAGUAGGUGAGGUAAUGGCUCACCUAGGCGACGAUCCCUAUCUGGUCUGAGAGGAUGAUCAGCCACACUGGGAGUGAGACACGGCCCAGACUCCUACGGAGGCAGCAGUGGGGAAUAUUGCACAAUGGGCGAAAGCCUGAUGCAGCCAUGCCGCGUGUAUGAAGAAGGCCCUAGGGUUGUAAAGUACUUUCAGUCGGGAGGCGUUACCGACAGAAUCAGCACCGGCUAACUCCGUGCCAGCAGCCGCGGUAAUAC
rnacentral:rRNA from 1 species